rnacentral:rRNA from 1 species
UACAGAGGUCUCAAGCGUUGUUCGGAUUCAUUGGGCGUAAAGGGUGCGUAGGCGGCGCGGUAAGUCGGGUGUGAAAUCUUGGAGCUUAACUCCGAAACUGCAUUCGAUACUGCCGUGCUUGAGGACUGGAGAGGAGACUGGAAUUUACGGUGUAGCGGUGAAAUGCGUAGAGAUCAUGAGGAAGACCAGUGGCGAAGGCGGGUCUCUGGACAGGUUCCUGACACUGAGACACGAAGGCCAGGGGAGCAAACGGG